rnacentral:lncRNA from 1 species
AUGGUUCACUAUUCAUUUGACCUGGAAAACCAAAUCAUGCAAAUCAGGGUUCAAAUCUUCAUGUUCACUUUAAGAACACCUGUGAAACUGCCCAGACCAUCAAGCGUAUGCAUGUACAAAAAGCCACUGAGUUGUCUGAAAGAUGUCACUUUACAAAAAUAAUGUCUACCAUUCUAACAUUACAGUGGUGGAGUUGGUAGCUGUGCCCAGGCCAAACAGUGAGGCUGAACACAGGAUCAGUGGCCUGAAAAGAGUGCUGAUCUUUUGCUGCACAUGCUUUAAAACACAGAAUCAUGCUGUACUUAGGGGUUUAGAUGUAGAUUCCCUGGUCACUGAGCCUAUCCAGGUGAACAAGUAAUCCAAGAUGCACGGCUGAACUUACUUAAAGAGCCAUACAUGAGCUCCCCCUGUCACAUCGAGGUGACCCUUACUGAAAAGAAUCAAAUUGUUCCUAAACCAGAAGAGGGGGUUGCAGAGAAGAAAAAGAUAUCCCGGAAGAAACUGAAGAAACAAAAACGUAUGACAUUGGAA